rnacentral:rRNA from 3 species
GGUUUCCGUAGGUGAACCUGCGGAAGGAUCAUUACCGAGUGCGGGCCCCUCGGGGCCCAACCUCCCACCCGUGUUGCCCGAACCUAUGUUGCCUCGGCGGGCCCCGCGCCCGCCGACGGCCCCCCUGAACGCUGUCUGAAGUUGCAGUCUGAGACCUAUAACGAAAUUAGUUAAAACUUUCAACAACGGAUCUCUUGGUUCCGGCAUCGAUGAAGAACGCAGCGAAAUGCGAUAACUAAUGUGAAUUGCAGAAUUCAGUGAAUCAUCGAGUCUUUGAACGCACAUUGCGCCCUCUGGUAUUCCGGAGGGCAUGCCUGUCCGAGCGUCAUUGCUGCCCUCAAGCCCGGCUUGUGUGUUGGGCCCCGUCCCCCCCGCCGGGGGGACGGGCCCGAAAGGCAGCGGCGGCACCGCGUCCGGUCCUCGAGCGUAUGGGGCUUCGUCACCCGCUCUAGUAGGCCCGGCCGGCGCCAGCCGACCCCCAACCUUUAAUUAUCUCAGGUUGACCUCGGAUCAGGUAGGGAUACCCGCUGAACUUAAGCAU